CCUUUUGUAGAAUGAACCGGCGAGUUACGAUUUGAUGCAAGGUUAAGCAGUAAAUGUGGAGCCGUAGCGAAAGCGAGUCUGAAUAGGGCGUUUAGUAUUUGGUCGUAGACCCGAAACCAGGUGAUCUACCCUUGGUCAGGUUGAAGUUCAGGUAACACUGAAUGGAGGACCGAACCGACUUACGUUGAAAAGUGAGCGGAUGAACUGAGGGUAGCGGAGAAAUUCCAAUCGAACCUGGAGAUAGCUGGUUCUCUCCGAAAUAGCUUUAGGGCUAGCCUCAAGUGAUGAUUAUUGGAGGUAGAGCACUGUUUGGACGAGGGGCCCCUCUCGGGUUACCGAAUUCAGACAA
rnacentral:rRNA from 1 species